UCGGAGAGCACCAUUUCAACGCCUAAUACACACAGCAACUGGACACACCACCAGAUAUUGGGGGUUGGUUUAUGGCAAUCUCAGUGCUGCACUGCUUUGCCUAACCUUCUGUUAACCAGAUGGCCUGUUCUCUCCCCUUGGGAUCAAACCAGGUUGCUAAGAUGAAAAUGACCUAAAUAUAACUGGAAAUGCUGCUUCACACCAACAGAGAACAAGAUCUUUUGGAGUAAAUAUUGAAAUGAUCUGCCAGAUGAACCACCACAGCAGCAUGAACCAAAUGGAUAGGAACUUGUAUUAUGUACACACAUACAAAUGUUCUGCCAUUGUAAAA